CCUUCCACCGCCCCCAUCCUCCAAGCUCACUGGGAGACGGCGAAAAGCAAUGGCGAUGGCGGGGAGUGCGGCGACAUCUAUGGAAGUACGCCAAGACGGGCUCGAAUUUCUGCUAGAGUCUGGUUGACAGGUUCCCGCUGCGAGAGGUGACUGCUGAUGUUGAGCAGUCAGAUCCAUUGGUGCUAAUGGACGUAUGGACGUCGGCGUCGACUCCAGCCGACUCAUCGUGCGAUGCUGUGGUUGGCCACCUCGAUGAUUCAUAUGAGCAUAACAAGUCACCCCGCAAGAGGAAGGAAUCGCGGACACAGUCAGCCGAAUCCACCAAGAAGGUCAACCCAGACGACCCGGAAUGGACCAGAAGGGAAAACCAGAUCAACAUAAUAGCCGCUCUUGCCGCUGCGAGUGCCCUCGAUGAUCAGAUUACUUAGAGCUGCAGACAAAUGGAUGGUACAUUGCUGAGCACCGGUGAAGCCACAACCAUUCAUUGUCUCUUACUUGUGGUGAAAAGGUACAUUGGCCAUCUCACAAGCACAUAGACGUUUACACAAGAGAUUUGGUGAAGCAGCUUAGGUCGAACAAUGUGAACCUCAACAAGGUUUACAACAUAGUUGGCAGCUUCUUCGGUUCAUCACAGAGUGUGCCUAUCACAAAAAGGUCAUUGCACAACCUGUGUGGACGAAAGUCGAGACGAGGCUGACGAUGAUGUGAACAAAACCUGAGAUGUGUUCAAGGAGAUACAACGGAAUGACCCAGAGUUCACCUACCGAGUAGAAGGUGACUAGGAAAGCAGAAUAAAAAACCUUAUGUGGACAGAUGGGAACAGCAAGCUGCAGCACAAAUUAUUUGGUGAUGUCAUCACAUUCGAUACGACGUAUCGGACCAAUUUGUAUGACAUACCCUUUGGGUUAUUCAUUGGUGUGAACAAUCACUUCCAAAGCAUAAUACUAGCUGGAGUGCUGAUGCAUGAUGAGCAAGUUGAGAGUUCCCAGUGGGUGUUCGCUGAAUUCGUCAACAUGAUGGGUGGUAAACAUCCACAGACAAUAUUGACAGACCAAGCAAGAGCCAUGGAGAUAGCAAUCAAGAGCGAGCUUCCUGGGACUGUGCACAAAUGGUGCAAAUGGCAUAUUCUUAAGAAAGUCAAAGAGAACCUUGGCCCACUGUAAACCAGCAAGAGUGAGUUCAGGGCUGAAUUCCACAAAGUGGUGAAUCACAUGAUAAGUGAGGAAGAAUUUGAGACUCCAUGGGGUAUGCUUGUUAAGUACAAUUUGAUGUCCCACAGUUACAUGACAAAUUUGUACGAGAUACGACGCAAGUGGGUGAAACCAUACUUCAAAGGUGUUUUCUGUGCCAAAAUGACCAGCACCCAGCGUAGCACGAGUGCAAACAAUAUGCUGAAAAUAUACAUGCCACCAGCAAGUCCAAUGCAUGUGUUUUGUGCGUCAGGAUAUGAGGCUGCAAUUCGACCAGGAAUCAGAUGAGAGCUACCAAGAAAAACAAACAAGGAUUAGUGGCGCUGUCAUGAGAACAAACAUUGCUAUCGAGAGGCAAUGCGGGUAAGGUUGAUACAUGGAAGAUGUUUGAACAAUUUGGUGAGUAUAUGUUCGAAGGUGGAUCGUACCAAGUCGAGGAAUUUGAAAAGAAAAAAAAGUAUAUCACAUGACACAAUGAUGCCAAAAGACGAGAUAAAUGGAGAAAGGUGGAAUACAAGGUGACCAUAUCAGAUGAGGGUGACUGGUUCGAAUGUGAAUGCGGUGAUGGGCCACAUUGGGGUGAAGGAAAUACCCAAACGGCACAUCCUGAAAAGGUGGACAAAAGAUGAUAGGGACAUCUUGCCACAACACAUUGCUCACUUUCGGAAGGACCAGGCUGCUAACCAAUCUUUAACGUGUCGAAGCUCAACUCUGUACCUACAUGCAAUGGAACUUGUGAGGAUUGGAGACUCAUCGGUGGCUGCCUACGAAAUAGUGCUGGGGAGGAUCAAAUACUUAAUCAUAGCAGCAUCUCCGUUUGCAGAAAACAGGGAUGGACUAGGGAUUGAGGACGGGAUAUAUUAGAUGAAUCAAGUCGGAAGAACAAUGUAUCGGCUGGGGCAAUGCUCAACAAUGAUGCAGUAAUUGUUGAGAACGAGAACAACAUUACCACAUCUGGCAAUUGGGAUGCCCUCGCGAGUCUGUCAGCUCCAAGCAAGAAGCGUGGUGUCGCGCGUCCAUGCUCAAGCAGAGAGAAAGCACCGUAUGAAGGCAUGAGUAAACGGAGGAGGUUUUGUAGUAUACGCAAGCUCCCAGGACAUAAGAGGACCAGCUGCCCAGACAUGGGUGAUGUGCCAAAGCAACCUCGCAAGCCUGUAACUUGCAAGAAUUGUGGUAUUACGGGUCACCGUCGCACCUCGUGCACGAGGCCACUAUUGCCCAAAGCAUUUUAAGACUUUUUCAGACCUUGUGUAAAAGAUGAAUAAUCGACGAUUUUCUAGUUUGUGA